UAAUUGUCAUGAAAAUAGUCAAUAAGUGAGGGUGUGAAAAUUCAAGGAGCGGCUGGGCAAGGUGGCUCACGCCUGUAAUCCCAGCACUUUGGGAAGCUGAGGCAGGCAGAUCACCUGAGCUGAGGAGUUCAAGACCAGCCUGGCCAACAUGGUGAAACCCCAUCUCUACUAAAAAUACAAAAACUAGCCGGGCGUGGUGGUGGAUGCCUGUAAUCCCAGCUACUCAGGAGACUGAGGCAGGAGAAUUGCUUGAACCCAGGAGACGGAGGUUGCAGUGAGCCGACACAGUGCCACUGCACUCCAGCCUCGGUGACAGAGUGAGACUCCGUCUCAAAAAAAAAAAAAAAAAAAAAAAAAGAAAAUUAAAGGAGCAAAAAAUGCUCUAUGUAUUUCAUAUGUAAUAUUGCUUAGAGAUUUCCUGAAAAUACAUUAUUAAGUGUAUGUUUAUGGUGGUGAUCAUUGCAGACAAAAUGAAGAAUUCAGAGCCCAAUCCUAACCUCAAGCCAAGAAGUAAGAAAAGGAAGAAAAAAUCAAGAAACUCAGAACAGAACCCCAGCAACAUUGAACCAAGGAGCAUGGACUCUCAGGCUGUUCAUAGAUUUCAGGAUCUUUUCCACUACUUCCACAGGCAGAUAGAGGGCCAUCCCCACCACCGUCUCUACCACCACCGUCUCUUCCCAGAGGAGUUUUUACUCUUCCUCCAACUCCUUUACCUGAGCUAAGUGGUAAACCAUCAUCAUCACCAUCACCUUUGGAGACCUCCUCUACCACCACCUUUGUUGAGAGACCUACUCUCCAGGAUCCCCACCUGCUCUGUCUUAUGGAGUGAAACAGAAAUAAAUGUGUAAGACUCA
rnacentral:lncRNA from 1 species